CUUGACACAUUCAAAUACAAAAAAUUAUAUUCCUUUUAAAUACAAAAAAAAUAGUAUUGCUGGAGAUACUCUUGGACUAUUCAACUUAAGCACUUUAAGUCCUAUCUGAUUUCAAUUUCCUACCUUUGGUUGAGCCUCAAAUCUUCCUCAAACCAGUUUUGUUCCACACAAAUACUAUCAUGACCAGAGUCACCAGACUAAGGAAUUAGAAAUACAUGAGGAAGGGUGGUAAUCCAUGAUCUCCUGAUUUUGUGUGGUGAUGUAUCGUGAUUCUCAGCUCUAGCAAUAGAUGAUGGGGAUUUCAAUUCUUUGAUAAUGGAUAAGCAUUUAUGAUGAAGCUGUUUCAAAGUUAGACAAAUCCUCUCAUGCAUGCUGUGCAAUUUUGGUGCCAUCUCAAGGCAUUCUGGAAAUGGUUUUGCAGCACGUCAGUUUUCUUAGCCAUUGAAGUAGAUGAUGUGGGUCAAAUCCUUGAUUUUGCUUGAUUGCAUAGACCGAAAAUUCCGGUUUCAAACUACUCUUUUCAAUUAGUCAGAUCUGUUUCUGAAUGAAUCCGCUUGCUGAUUUUGAGAUUCUCGUUUGAAGUUUGACUGACGUCUUGCGGUGAAGUGAUCAUUGAUAUUCCUGGAGUUCGGUCAAUAUGGAGCAAUGCUGCUGGUCGGUUAUGAAUAUUUUCCCAAUUCUAUUGAAGAUCAGGGAAAUUCAGUUUUACUUCAUGUUCCUUUCUGCUGUCUUUUAAAUUGAAAACUUAUGUAGUGAUAGCAUGUUUUCUUUCUUUCCUGCUUUUGAAAAAGUGUUGCAAUCUUAUGAAAUUCAAUGCAACCAGAA